rnacentral:tRNA from 1 species
GGGCCUAUGGUCUACCGGUAUGACGGAUCCAUGGCAUGGAUCAAGACGGGGUUCGACUCCCCGUAGGUCCACCA